AUGAACGCUGGCGGCGUGCCUAAUACAUGCAAGUCGAGCGAACGGACGAGAAGCUUGCUUCUCUGAUGUUAGUGGCGGACGGGUGAGUAACACGUGGAUAACCUACCUAUAAGACUGGGAUAACUUCGGGAAACCGUAGCUAAUACCGGAUAAUAUUUUGAACCGCAUGGUUCAAAAGUGAAAGACGGUCUUGCUGUCACUUAUAGAUGGAUCCGCGCUGCAUUAGCUAGUUGGUAAGGUAACGGCUUACCAAGGCAACGAUGCAUAGCCGACCUGAGAGGGUGAUCGGCCACACUGGAACUGAGACACGGUCCAGACUCCUACGGGAGGCAGCAGUAGGGAAUCUUCCGCAAUGGGCGAAAGCCUGACGGAGCAACGACGCGUGAGUGAUGAAGGUCUUCGGAUCGUAAAACUCUGUUAUUAGGGAAGAACAUAUGUGUAAGUAACUGUGCACAUCUUGACGGUACCUAAUCAGAAAGCCACGGCUAACUACGUG
rnacentral:rRNA from 1 species